rnacentral:tRNA from 1 species
GCCCCAAUAGCUCAGUUGGCUAGAGCGACUGUCUCGUAAACAGUAGGUCGGCGGUUCAAAUCCGCCUUGGGGCU